GAGCACUCCUGGCUUUUUCAUUUCACUUGUCCAUCUUUUCCUCACUUCUGAGGUAUUGUUAUCUCUAAUAAAAGCACUUACACCUACUGCUGGUGGUUCUGUUUGUGAAAAAAAAAUGACAUUUCUGGCGCAUGAGAAUGGUCAUGUGAAGUCAGAGAAGACAUGUAACUCUCCUGAUUAAUGUAUUUGUAUAAUUAAUAAUUUUGUGGACUGCCUCUGGGGACUAAAAUGUAAUAAGGUAGGUGUCUUUUCUCUUCUAACCUCCUGUGCCAUGAGGAGAAAAUCUCAUGAAUUUUCUGUAACUCUCCUGAACUGACUCUCCUGAAUAAAAUUAAUUACUUUUAAAAAAUGCUCUCUGGGAGACCUAAUUCUCUUUUAUUAUGAGCUGCUGACAUAUUUCUAAUCUGUUGUUGAGACAAAUGAUUUUAGAAUCUUUACUUCUUUCUUCCUCAAAAUCCUGCUGCUUUUCCAGAGAGAUUUGCAAGAAGCAAUGGCUCAGAAACCCUUAUUUCUACCUUUAUGGGCUGUCUUCAAACUUAAAAGCAGACUGCUGGCAAGGAACAUUGAUGUUUGCACUAACAAGGGAUGCAACACUGUAAAAAUUCAUGAACUGUAUGAUCAUCAAACUUCUCCAGUGAUCUCCUACCUUUACCGAUAUGCUCUGUCUCAUUUUGCCCUGCAAUAGAGAGGCUGUGACAGACAUCUCACUCAGAACAGCGUCAAAGAGCCCCGAAAGGCUUUAUUCCCUGGCUUCUUGCUCUGACAGUUGGUAAGUUGCUUUAACCCUAUCAAUAACCAACAUCUUCAAGUACAGAGAUGUUUAAGGUGGUAGCAGGCACGUUAUGAAUGGCUUGGUUUUGAGGACUGCUUCUCUAACCCUGGAGACGUACUUUAAAAUGGAGUAGGCCAUAUUACGUAACAAGAACAAGCUUGUGCUGAGGUCUUCCCACUUAAUUAGUAUUGAAACCUAGCUCAGUUGUGAUGUUCAGAAAUACUAAGUUUCGUGCAGUUCCAAGUGAGAUAUGCUUCUGCUCUGUUAGAAAGAAGACAACCUUUGCACCUACAUGCAAAGAAGUUGUUUUGAAAAAGGAAAUCUAAUUAAAAACAGUUAACACAAUCUUUACAGUUGAGUCACGUUCCUAGACACCGCAUGUUCCUCAUGUUGUGUAAAACAAUAAACAUCUGACUCAAGACUGAGUCUUCUGCUCC
rnacentral:lncRNA from 1 species